rnacentral:lncRNA from 1 species
AUGUGGCGGGGCUCGGCGCUCUCUGGGGCGGAGCCGGUUCUUGGCGCCCCUGCUGGCUCCUCCUCCUCCUCUGGGGGUGUGGCCAAGUCCAAGCCACGCCCAUUUCCUUUUAUGGGCGCAGAGGGCAUGGCCUCCUCGAUCCCGGCCUCUGAUUGGUCGCUGCUCCUCUGGGGGCGGGGCUUGGAGCCAGAACAGGCCCCGCUCCCUCUGCUCUCGGCCAAUCGGCGACUGCGCCGAACCUGGGGGGGCGGGGCCAGGGUGGGGAUCCCAGAAUGCAACGGGAGCCCCAAAAAUUCAUCCAAAAUCCCCCAAAUUCACCCCAAAAUUCCAUCUGGGAACCCCAAAUUCACCCAAAAUCCCCCCAAAUUCACCCCAAAAUUCUAUCUGGAACCCCCAAAAAUUGAUCUGGGAACCCCAAAGCCCCCCAAAUUCCCCCCAAAUUUUCCCCAAAAUCCUCCCAGGGACCCCCAAUUUCCACCUGGACCCCCCCAAAUUCUACCUAGAAACCCAAAAAUUCCCCAAAUUCACCCAAAAGCCCCCAAAAUCAACCCCAAAAUCCUCUCAAAUCCCCCCCAAAAUCCCCAAAAUUCAUCCCAAGAAUUCACCUGGGAACCCCAAAAUCCCUCCCAGGAUCCCCCAAAAUCAGCUGGGAACCCCAAAAAUCCCCCAAAUUCCCCCCAAAUUCCAUCUGCAACCCCCAAAAUCUCCCAAAAUUCAUCCAAAAAUUCACCUUGGAGACCCCAAAUUCCCCCCAAAUUCCCCUCAGGGACCCGAAAUUCACCUCUGGGGCUGGGCCUGGUGCAGCCCCAACAUCUGGAUCCGGCGGCUCCGGCUCCACAUCUGGAAUCCUGGGCAGCUCAGGGGGCCCAACAUCUGGAUUUGGGGCUGGGAACAUCUGGGUGGCCACAUCUGGGUAGGACCUGUCAUCCUCCUCCUCCACAUCUGGAUCUGACCCAUUGUCCUCCUCCACAUGUGGAAUUCGGGUGGUCUUGGGGUUGUUUUGAGCCGUUUUGGGGUCCCAACAUCUGGAUUUGGGGCCAGGAACAGCUGGGUGGCCACAUCUGGAUCCGGCUCUCCCUCCACAUCUGGCUCUGGUGCGUUCUCCCUCACAUCUGGAAUUUUGGGUGGGUUUGGGCUAAUUUUGAGUCGCUUCGGGCUCCCAACAUCUGGAUUUGGGUGCAGGAACAUCUGGGUGGCCACAUCUGGAUCCAGUUCCUCUUCCUCCUCCACAUCUGGAAUUUUGGGGCCUCUCGGGGGCGUUUUUGGGCUUUCUGA